rnacentral:tRNA from 1 species
GGCGACGUAGCUCAGUCGGUUAGAGCAUGCGGCUCAUAUCCGCAGUGUCCGGGGUUCGAAUCCCUGCGUCGCCA